ACGAACGCUGGCGGCGUGCUUAACACAUGCAAGUCGAACGGAAAGGCCCUGCUUUUGUGGGGUGCCCGAGUGGCGAACGGGUGAGUAACACGUGAGUAACCUGCCCUUGACUUUGGGAUAACUUCAGGAAACUGGGGCUAAUACCGGAUAGGAGCUCCUGCUGCAUGGUGGGGGUUGGAAAGUUUCGGCGGUUGGGGAUGGACUCGCGGCUUAUCAGCUUGUUGGUGGGGUAGUGGCUUACCAAGGCUUUGACGGGUAGCCGGCCUGAGAGGGUGACCGGCCACAUUGGGACUGAGAUACGGCCCAGACUCCUACGGGAGGCAGCAGUGGGGAACAUUGCACAAUGGGCGGAAGCCUGAUGCAGCAACGCCGCGUGCGGGAUGACGGCCUUCGGGUUGUAAACCGCUUUCGCCUGUGACGAAGCGUGAGUGACGGUAAUGGGUAAAGAAGCACCGGCUAACUACGUG
rnacentral:rRNA from 1 species